GUGGGGAAUAUUCCGCAAUGGACGAAAGUCUGACGGAGCAACGCCGCGUGAGUGAUGAAGGUUUUCGGACUGUAAAGCUCUGUUGUUUGGGACGAAAGUGCCUGUUGCGAACAGUUACGGGUAUUGACGGUACUAAACGAGGAAGCCACGGCUAACUACGUGCCAGCAGCCGCGGUAAUACGUAGGUGGCAAGCGUUGUCCGGAAUUAUUGGGCGUAAAGAGCAUGUAGGCGGGAAUCUAAGUCUGUUGUUAAAAUGCGGGGCUCAACCCCGUAUUGCGAUGGAAACUGGGUUUCUUGAGUGCAGGAGAGGAAAGGGGAAUUCCCAGUGUAGCGGUGAAAUGCGUAGAUAUUGGGAGGAACACCAGUGGCGAAGGCGCCUUUCUGGACUGUGUCUGACGCUGAGAUGCGAAAGCCAGGGGAGCGAACGGGAUUAGAUACCCGUGUAGUCC
rnacentral:rRNA from 1 species